CUCUCGUCUCUCCUCUCUGUGUCUCUCUCGAACUCUCUAUAGUCUUCACCGACUAAACCCUAAUUUAUAAUGGGUGCUUUCGGAGAUCGAUUGUUGAUUUCAUUCUUCUCUUGCUCUAUAUCUCAGUUAAUUGAAGCAAUACGGCUGGUUUGGUAUAUAGAAAAAGGGUUUGAAUCGAUGAGACUCGAAUCCCUCUAUGGAUCUUGAGUUUAGGUUCAAAUCCGACAUGGUUUUUAUAGCUUUUAAUUUGAUUUCUAUAAUACUCACUUGUGUCUAUGAUUUGAAUUAAUUUCUUCUCAAACCCUAACCUUGGCUCUUCAAGAAAUUUGCAAGAAUAUGGCUAAUUUGGUCGAAGUGAAGCAUACAGAGGGAAUUAAAGGUGAUUCGAAUGGAAUCAAAAGACGCUCGGUGGUGCUUGACAGAGCUCGGUGAUGGUAUAGCUGCACUGUACCUGAUAUGUGCGAAUUCAAGCCCAAACUCGAUUUAAGUCUUGUGUUCUGAUUAAGUUAUGAGCUUGUGUGUAUAAACUCCACGAGUGGAGAUUUUGUCUGCAACAAGCUAAUUGCUUCAAUUCGAGCCUAAAGUGGAAACUCAAAGAUUCAGAGAAUAAAGUGGCCGAAGAAGCUGAUUUUGAUGAUAAAUUUUGGGCUCAUUUUAAUAGACGGCCUAUUAGGUCAAGGGAUGUUGAGAGGCUUCAUAUGAUUCACUUUUUUUCAUGCAGUGGUGUUGUCAACUUGGCUUUCAACAAUGUCACAAAAAUAAGUAUUCAUUGUAAUGUCAAAACAUUUUAUUAUACAUUUAUGUUAAUAGUAUUCCUUGGAGAAAUUUAGCUUACUAAUUGUUUGCUUCUUAAUUAAAUUAUCUAUAUUAGUUUAA